rnacentral:tRNA from 1 species
GCCUAGUUAGCUUAGUUGAUAGUGCGUGUGCCUCGGUAAGCGCUAGGCCGCGGGUUCGAUUCCCGCCCGGGGCG